GACGAACGCUGGCGGCGUGCUUAACACAUGCAGGUCGAACGGAAAGGCCCUGCUUUUGUGGGGUGCUCGAGUGGCGAACGGGUGAGUAACACGUGAGUAACCUGCCCUUGACUUUGGGAUAACUUCAGGAAACUGGGGCUAAUACCGGAUAGGAGCUCCUGCUGCAUGGUGGGGGUUGGAAAGUUUCGGCGGCUGGGGAUGGACUCGCGGCUUAUCAGCUUGUUGGUGGGGUAGUGGCUUACCAAGGCUUUGACGGGUAGCCGGCCUGAGAGGGUGACCGGCCACAUUGGGACUGAGAUACGGCCCAGACUCCUACGGGAGGCAGCAGUGGGGAAUAUUGCACAAUGGGCGGAAGCCUGAUGCAGCAACGCCGCGUGCGGGAUGACGGCCUUCGGGUUGUAAACCGCUUUCGCCUGUGACGAAGCGUGAGUGACGGUAAUGGGUAAAGAAGCACCGGCUAACUACGUG
rnacentral:rRNA from 1 species